rnacentral:rRNA from 1 species
GAUGAACGCUGGCGGCGUGCCUAAUACAUGCAAGUCGAGCGAACGGACGAGAAGCUUGCUUCUCUGAUGUUAGCGGCGGACGGGUGAGUAACACGUGGAUAACCUACCUAUAAGACUGGGAUAACUUCGGGAAACCGGAGCUAAUACCGGAUAAUAUUUUGAACCGCAUGGUUCAAAAGUGAAAGACGGUCUUGCUGUCACUUAUAGAUGGAUCCGCGCUGCAUUAGCUAGUUGGUAAGGUAACGGCUUACCAAGGCAACGAUGCAUAGCCGACCUGAGAGGGUGAUCGGCCACACUGGAACUGAGACACGGUCCAGACUCCUACGGGAGGCAGCAGUAGGGAAUCUUCCGCAAUGGGCGAAAGCCUGACGGAGCAACGCCGCGUGAGUGAUGAAGGUCUUCGGAUCGUAAAACUCUGUUAUUAGGGAAGAACAUAUGUGUAAGUAACUGUGCACAUCUUGACGGUACCUAAUCAGAAAGCCACGGCUAACUACGUGCCAGCAGCCGCGGUAAUACGUAGGUGGCGAGCGUUAUCCGGAAUUAUUGGGCGUAAAGCGCGCGUAGGCGGUUUUUUAAGUCUGAUGUGAAAGCCCACGGCUCAACCGUGGAGGGUCAUUGGAAACUGGAAAACUUGAGUGCAGAAGAGGAAAGUGGAAUUCCAUGUGUAGCGGUGAAAUGCGCAGAGAUAUGGAGGAACACCAGUGGCGAAGGCGACUUUCUGGUCUGUAACUGACGCUGAUGUGCGAAAGCGUGGGGAUCAAACAGGAUUAGAUACCCUGGUAGUCCACGCCGUAAACGAUGAGUGCUAAGUGUUAGGGGGUUUCCGCCCCUUAGUGCUGCAGCUAACGCAUUAAGCACUCCGCCUGGGGAGUACGACCGCAAGGUUGAAACUCAAAGGAAUUGACGGGGACCCGCACAAGCGGUGGAGCAUGUGGUUUAAUUCGAAGCAACGCGAAGAACCUUACCAAAUCUUGACAUCCUUUGACAACUCUAGAGAUAGAGCCUUCCCCUUCGGGGGACAAAGUGACAGGUGGUGCAUGGUUGUCGUCAGCUCGUGUCGUGAGAUGUUGGGUUAAGUCCCGCAACGAGCGCAACCCUUAAGCUUAGUUGCCAUCAUUAAGUUGGGCACUCUAAGUUGACUGCCGGUGACAAACCGGAGGAAGGUGGGGAUGACGUCAAAUCAUCAUGCCCCUUAUGAUUUGGGCUACACACGUGCUACAAUGGACAAUACGAAGGGCAGCGAAACCGCGAGGUCAAGCAAAUCCCAUAAAGUUGUUCUCAGUUCGGAUUGUAGUCUGCAACUCGACUACAUGAAGCUGGAAUCGCUAGUAAUCGUAGAUCAGCAUGCUACGGUGAAUACGUUCCCGGGUCU